AUGUCUCGCCGCCGCCGCCGGAGGGCGCGCCGGAGUGAAGCUAGGGCCAGCCCCAAGGAGGUCAACGACGGGGCACCUGGUUCCGGUCGGCUUGGCGCGGGCGCGCGGCGAAUGCUUGCUGCAACAGCGCUGAGGCACGGACUGUGUUGCCCAGGAGCGUGGCCGACGCCAGUUGCUGGCUUACCUGCCUUGCUUCCGCCGGAUGCGGGCUCUCUCCACUCCUCAUGCAUCCGCCAUGUCGGCCCAAGCAGACGACGAAGUCCAGCCCUGGCCAACAAGCUGUUCGUCACACGCCCAUGUAUGAUGAUUUCAGAAGUAUGGUCAAAUGGAAGGCUGAAGGAAGAUUUUUGA
rnacentral:rRNA from 1 species